rnacentral:rRNA from 1 species
AUUGAACGCUGGCGGCGGGCCUAACACAUGCAAGUCGAACGCGUGGCGGACGGGUGAGUAUAGUCUGGGAAACUGCCCGAUGGAGGGGGAGAACUCCUGGAAACGGUAGCAAAUACCGCAUACCAUCGGAUGUGCCCACAUGGGAUUAGCUAGUAGGUGGGGUAACGGCUCACCUCGGCGACGAUCCCUAGCUGGUCUGAGAGGAUGAUCAGCCACACUGGAACUGAGACACGGUCCAGACUCCUACGGGAGGCAGCAGUGGGGAAUAUUGCACAAUGGGCGCAAGCCUGAUGCAGCCAUGCCGCGUGUAUGAAGAAGGCCUUCGGGUUGUAAAGUACUUUCAGCGAGGAGGCGUUACUCGCAGAAGAAGCACCGGCUAACUCCGUGCCAGCAGCCGCGGUAAUAC